UACGUAGGGUGCGAGCGUUAAUCGGAAUUACUGGGCGUAAAGCGCGCGUAGGCGGCUAUUCAAGUCAGAGGUGAAAGCCCGGGGCUCAACCCCGGAACUGCCUUUGAAACUAGAUAGCUAGAAUCUUGGAGAGGCGAGUGGAAUUCCGAGUGUAGAGGUGAAAUUCGUAGAUAUUCGGAAGAACACCAGUGGCGAAGGCGACUCGCUGGACAAGUAUUGACGCUGAGGUGCGAAAGCGUGGGGAGCAAACAGG
rnacentral:rRNA from 1 species